CUCUUAUGGUAUUUGAUCGGUUCUGGUGAGGAACAGCCACCGGAAGUAAUGGGGAAAGAGCAGUGCAAGGCUGCCGCUGUCCCGCAACUGUGAUGAGAGGUUGACCUCUCUAAGUCAGGAUGCCCGCCGAUGUUAAGACCCAUGU
rnacentral:ncRNA from 2 species